CGUGCAUCUCCGAGACUGAACGUCGUAAGAAACCAACUUGAUGGUUUCCCACCGCCGUCACAUACGGAGUACAGAGUGUACAGCUACCGCUGCUCAUCCAGAAGCGGCAUCCUACGGUGGAGCAAAAGGCCAUUAUCCGAGCGGCUGAGACCGUGGAGCUCAUCACAACUCCUGACCUUUAAAAACACUCAGCGAUGGAUUGCAGGACGGCGCGCGCUGGCGCAGGCGUCAGGACCGCAUCACGGUGGCGGACCGAUUCUCUUACUCACCGCAGUCUGCCAGCUGCUUAAUCACAGCCGAUGUGACCGCUGCCCAUUCCAACAAGGGCACCACCGGAAAAGUGAGGAAGGGGGAUUGGCCAACCAGCUAAAACCCGUCUCUGGGCUAUGCCAAGUGCUGUAGCCAGACUUUGCCAUCUCACCUUAUUGAUUGGGGCGGAGGAGGAAACAGAAGACUGUGUUUAUGAAUCUGCUACUGAUGGAUUCAUCUUUUCCGGGAAAGCUGAUUUGGGAAACUGCACCGGCCCGAAUCCAUUGUGCUGGCAUGAGGUAGCAGCUCCCUCAGUUGUGGGUUUCUGAGAGCGGGGCGGACAUAUCCAAAGAGGUGUUAAUCAAAGGGGAAGCAGUGGCAAACAGGCCCGUCUCUCGCUGUGCGUUCAAAGAAGGAGCCUCACCCCACUUCCACAUGGCCUCUCAGCCUCCUGACGACUGCUCUUUUACAGGUGCUCCGCACAUUCAUCACUCCUCGCCGCUCCUGGAUCAGGCAGAACCACCGCGGCCAAUCAUGCGCGCGUUACAGUGGGAACCAGUACAGGAGGCCGGCCCGAGCCCAGCCCUGUGAGUGUUAGCACACAAAUAUGUACUGCUCGGGAUAAGAGAGAGGAACGGUGGAGGAUACUUUGUUGUUACCAUGGGGACAAGAUAUAGUAAAUACAGACAAAAAUGAAUUGAAUACAGGACGUAGACUCCACCCUACACUGCCUGAAUCACCGCAGCUGAGUUUAUAGAAUCUGACAACCUGUUAGGAGAAGCCACCCCUGUAUGUGGAUGGUAAGGCUUUCUUUUAAAUUCUGUCUCAUCUGAAUAAGUUCUAAGGGGAGUGCUAAUUGUGCAAAGUAUGAAGCUGUAAGCGUGUCAUGUGACAGGUGCUGUCAUCCUGCUGUUGACGUGUUGGGCGAUUUGGUAGGUUCUUACGAAAUGGCAUAAUGAGACACUCCAGAAAAGGGAAAACCACACACAGAAACAACAUGUCAAUCCCCUUGAAGUCAGAUUCGGCGCAAAGACUCGGCCCCGCUUUCUUCUCGACGCGGUUCUUGACAGGCCGAGAAUCUCCUGCUCAGGUUUUUAAAAAAAUGUUUUAUUUCAUUCUGAAUACAUUAACGCCAGGCCCUAAUUUGCCGGCUGAUUUCCGUCAUGCAGUUGAGGCCCCCCCUACACUCAACGCCCUUUCCUCCAUGAUGACUUCUGAAGCUCUUAAUAAGAGUUAAACUGGAAUGGCUGGUGAUAUAGUCGCACAAUAGUGCCGUUCCACCUGCGAUAAAGCUCAUUUUCACUCUGCAGCCAGUCUCCUUUCAUGCUGUUCGCACUCCCCUGUUCAUAAGUCUUUUGACUGGGCUCAAAAGCCGUGAGAACACUGCAGACAUUGUGUAUCACACAUCACUGUCCAGCGAGAAAAUACUGCUGCGGUUUCCCAUGGACUGAAGACUUUUUCACGUUACUGUGCAUUACAGGAUAUUCUUACAUUUUUUACAUUUAACAAUCUAACAUCUUGUGCCCGGCAGAGAUUUUUUCUUAACUGCAGCUGUGAUGUUUUUUGUUCGAUCUCAAUGAUCUGCAACCCUGGCCCUGGAAAGCUAUAGGAUUUGACUGAUUAUCAUUGUUACUCCACAUAUAACUGAUUCGAUUAAUUUAGCUGAUUUUAUUGUAUACUCAACUCGCCUAGUUUUUAGUCGGAAUUAGUUACUGAUUUUAAGGUCGCAACAAAAGCAUAUCCAAUGGUGCUCCAUGACCAUGAGUUGC